rnacentral:rRNA from 1 species
UACGUAGGGGGCAAGCGUUGUCCGGAUUUACUGGGCGUAAAGGGCGCGUAGGCGGCCUUCUAAGUCGAACGUGAAAUCCCCGGGCUCAACCCGGGAACUGCGUCCGAUACUGGAAGGCUUGAAUCCGGGAGAGGGAUGCGGAAUUCCAGGUGUAGCGGUGAAAUGCGUAGAUAUCUGGAGGAACACCGGUGGCGAAGGCGGCAUCCUGGACCGGCAUUGACGCUGAGGCGCGAAAGCCAGGGGAGCAAACGGG